rnacentral:rRNA from 1 species
UACGGGGGGGGCAAGCAUUGUUCGGAAUUACUGGGCGUAAAGGGCUCGUAGGCGGCCAACUAAGUCAGACGUGAAAUCCCUCGGCUUAACCGGGGAACUGCGUCUGAUACUGGAUGGCUUGAGUUUGGGAGAGGGAUGCGGAAUUCCAGGUGUAGCGGUGAAAUGCGUAGAUAUCGGGAGGAACACCAGUGGCGAAGGCGACUACCUGGCCUGUUUCUUGACGCUGAGGCGCGAAAGCUAGGGGAGCAAACGGG